rnacentral:lncRNA from 1 species
AGAGGAUGAUGCGGGCAGCAGAUCUGAUUCUGAUUUCGAAUCCAGUAGACCCCAUGCUCGUAAGCAAACACGGCGAACAUCAAAAUCGGAGUCUGACAGUGAGCAGAACUCCGAUUCAGAGAGACCAGCAAAGAAGAUGAGGAAGCAGAAGCCAGUGAGGGAGUUACCUGGCCGCUCUGCACGACCUGCAACAUACAAAGAUGGCAGCAGCGACGACAAUGACAGCAACGAUGAAGACGAUGAAGAGGUC